GAUGAACGCUGGCGGCGUGCCUAAUACAUGCAAGUCGAGCGAACGGACGAGAAGCUUGCUUCUCUGAUGUUAGCGGCGGACGGGUGAGUAACACGUGGAUAACCUACCUAUAAGACUGGGAUAACUUCGGGAAACCGGAGCUAAUACCGGAUAAUAUUUUGAACCGCAUGGUUCAAAAGUGAAAGACGGUCUUGCUGUCACUUAUAGAUGGAUCCGCGCUGCAUUAGCUAGUUGGCAAGGUAACGGCUUACCAAGGCAACGAUGCAUAGCCGACCUGAGAGGGUGAUCGGCCACACUGGAACUGAGACACGGUCCAGACUCCUACGGGGGGCAGCAGUAGGGAAUCUUCCGCAAUGGGCGAAAGCCUGACGGAGCAACGCCGCGUGAGUGAUGAAGGUCUUCGGAUCGUAAAACUCUGUUAUUAGGGAAGAACAUAUGUGUAAGUAACUGUGCACAUCUUGACGGUACCUAAUCAGAAAGCCACGGCUAACUACGUG
rnacentral:rRNA from 1 species